rfam:Dipodomys ordii contig_25862, whole genome shotgun sequence.
UGGAAGGUGGCUCAGUGGUAGAGUACUUGCCUUGCAUGCAGGAGGCCCUGGGUUGGAUUCCUCAGUAUCACAU